AGUGAACGCUGGCGGUAGGCCUAACACAUGCAAGUCGAACGGCAGCACAGUAAGAGCUUGCUCUUACGGGUGGCGAGUGGCGGACGGGUGAGGAAUACAUCGGAAUCUACUUUUUCGUGGGGGAUAACGUAGGGAAACUUACGCUAAUACCGCAUACGACCUACGGGUGAAAGCAGGGGAUCUUCGGACCUUGCGCGAUUGAUUGAGCCGAUGUCGGAUUAGCUAGUUGGCGGGGUAAAGGCCCACCAAGGCGACGAUCCGUAGCUGGUCUGAGAGGAUGGUCAGCCACACUGGAACGGAGACACGGUCCAGACUCCUACGGGAGGCAGCAGUGGGGAAGAUUGGACGAUGGGCGCAAGCCUGAUCCAGCCAUACCGCGUGGGUGAAGAAGGCCUUCGGGUUGUAAAGCCCUUUUGUUGGGAAAGAAAAGCAGCAGGUUAAUACCCCGCUGUUCUGACGGUACCCAAAGAAUAAGCACCGGCUAACUUCGUG
rnacentral:rRNA from 1 species